CCGGCAUUAUCAGCCGUCGCUUAGAUCUAUGGAGACAACAGGAAGGAAAGAGACCUUCCUCGUCACACUUGGGCCGCAGGAGAACAGGCAGCGGCCCAGGAGGAUCCAGGGUCCUGAUGGUGGUUGAGAAGCUGGUUCUUAGUGAUCACUCAGAAACGUCGGCCUGGCCUUGUGGGGUCAGACCUUGCAUCUCAGUCAGCCCAGGGAGAAGAAGAAGAUGGUCCACACCCAAGUGCAGGGAACAUCGUGGCAGCCAGCUGGGUGCCUGCGUCCAGGCAAGGACACCUCCCGCAUCAGGGAAACACACGUUUCUGGAGUGAGGAGGCUGAAGGCAGGGCCCAGAGGAGAGCCGAGCCAUGGAAGGAGGCGUGUGCAUGGAUGGUGAGCUAGAGCAGGUGCAGGUGCCUCAGGGAGGAUGUGUGGGAUGAACUGACUCAGGGAAACCAUAAGAAAUGCUUUCACCAAACAGGAGAAACCUGAAGGUCUGGAUCCAGAGCCUCAGAUCUUACACUGGCAGCACACAGGGACACAGCAGCUGGACUGGCAGCAGCGGGGCUUGCAGCAGCUGGACUGGCAGCAGGAUGAUCCACAGCCUGAGGAGCAGCAACAGGGCUUACAGCAACUGCACUGGGAGCAGCC
rnacentral:lncRNA from 1 species